GAACGCUAGCUACAGGCUUAACACAUGCAAGUCGAGGGGCAGCAUGGUCUUAGCUUGCUAAGGCCGAUGGCGACCGGCGCACGGGUGAGUAACACGUAUCCAACCUGCCGUCUACUCUUGGACAGCCUUCUGAAAGGAAGAUUAAUACAAGAUGGCGUCAUGAGUCCGCAUGUUCACAUGAUUAAAGGUAUUCCGGUAGACGAUGGGGAUGCGUUCCAUUAGGUUGUUGGCGGGGUAACGGCCCACCAAGCCUUCGAUGGAUAGGGGUUCUGAGAGGAAGGUCCCCCACAUUGGAACUGAGACACGGUCCAAACUCCUACGGGAGGCAGCAGUGAGGAAUAUUGGUCAAUGGACGAGAGUCUGAACCAGCCAAGUAGCGUGAAGGAUGACUGCCCUAUGGGUUGUAAACUUCUUUUAUACGGGAAUAAAGUGAGGCACGUGUGCCUUUUUGUAUGUACCGUAUGAAUAAGGAUCGGCUAACUCCGUGCCAGCAGCCGCGGUAAUACGGAGGAUCCGAGCGUUAUCCGGAUUUAUUGGGUUUAAAGGGAGCGUAGGCGGACGCUUAAGUCAGUUGUGAAAGUUUGCGGCUCAACCGUAAAAUUGCAGUUGAUACUGGGUGUCUUGAGUACAGUAGAGGCAGGCGGAAUUCGUGGUGUAGCGGUGAAAUGCUUAGAUAUCACGAAGAACUCCGAUUGCGAAGGCAGCUUGCUGGACUGUAACUGACGCUGAUGCUCGAAAGUGUGGGUAUCAAACAGGAUUAGAUACCCUGGUAGUCCACACAGUAAUCGAUGAAUACUCGCUGUUUGCGAUAUACAGUAAGCGGCCAAGCGAAAGCGUUAAGUAUUCCACGUGGGGAGUACGCCGGCAACGGUGAAACUCAAAGGAAUUGACGGGGGCCCGCACAAGCGGAGGAACAUGUGGUUUAAUUCGAUGAUACGCGAGGAACCUUACCCGGGCUUGAAUUGCAAUUGAAUGAUGUGGAGACAUGUCAGCCGCAAGGCAGUUGUGAAGGUGCUGCAUGGUUGUCGUCAGCUCGUGCCGUGAGGUGUCGGCUUAAGUGCCAUAACGAGCGCAACCCUUAUCGAUAGUUACCAUCAGGUUAUGCUGGGGACUCUGUCGAGACUGCCGUCGUAAGAUGUGAGGAAGGUGGGGAUGACGUCAAAUCAGCACGGCCCUUACGUCCGGGGCUACACACGUGUUACAAUGGGGGGUACAGAAGGCAGCUACACGGUGACGUGAUGCUAAUCCCGAAAGCCUCUCUCAGUUCGGAUUGGAGUCUGCAACCCGACUCCAUGAAGCUGGAUUCGCUAGUAAUCGCGCAUCAGCCACGGCGCGGUGAAUACGUUCCCGGGCCUUGUACACACCGCCCGUCAAGCCAUGAAAGCCGGGGGUACCUGAAGUGCGUAACCGCAAGGAGCGCCCUAGGGUAAAACUGGUGAUUGGGGCUA
rnacentral:rRNA from 1 species